CCUACGGGGUGCUGCAGUGGGGAAUAUUGCACAAUGGGGGAAACCCUGAUGCAGCGAAGCCGCGUGAGUGAAGAAGUAUCUCGGUACGUAAAGCUCUAUCAGCAGGGAAGAAAAUGACGGUACCUGACUAAGAAGCCCCGGCUAACUACGUGCCAGCAGCCGCGGUAAUACGUAGGGGGCAAGCGUUAUCCGGAUUUACUGGGUGUAAAGGGAGUGUAGACGGCAGCACAAGUCUGGAGUGAAAUUCCGCGGCUUAACCCCGAAACUGCUUUGGAAACUGUGCGGCUUGAGUGCAGGAGGGGUAAGCGGAAUUCGUAGUGUAGCGGUGAAAUGCUUAGAUAUCACGAAGAACUCCGAUUGCGAAGGCAGCUUACUAAACUGCCACUGACAUUGAUGCUCGAAAGUGUGGGUAUCAAACAGGAUUAGAUACCCGAGUAGUC
rnacentral:rRNA from 1 species